AUUGAACGCUGGCGGCAGGCCUAACACAUGCAUGUCGAACGGUAGCACAGAGAGCUUGCUCUCGGGUGACGAGUGGCGGACGGGUGAGUAAUGUCUGGGAAACUGCCCGAUGGAGGGGGAUAACUACUGGAAACGGUAGCUAAUACCGCAUAACGUCGCAAGACCAAAGUGGGGGACCUUCGGGCCUCACACCAUCGGAUGUGCCCAGAUGGGAUUAGCUAGUAGGUGGGGUAAUGGCUCACCUAGGCGACGAUCCCUGGCUGGUCUGAGAGGAUGACCAGCCACACUGGAACUGAGACACGGUCCAGACUCCUACGGGAGGCAGCAGUGGGGAAUAUUGCACAAUGGGCGCAAGCCUGAUGCAGCCAUGCCGAGUGUAUGAAGAAGGCCUUCGGGUUGUAAAGUACUUUCAGCGGGGAGGAAGGCGGUGAAGUUAAUAGCUUCACCGAUUGACGUUACCCGCAGAAGAAGCACCGGCUAACUCCGUGCCAGCCGCCGCCGUAA
rnacentral:rRNA from 1 species